CAAUAGCGUAUAUUAAAGUUGUUGCAGUUAAAAAGCUCGUAGUUGGACUUCUGCGGGUGGCGGCCGGUCGUGCUCGAAACGGGCGUGAACUUGGCGUGCUGCCCGCAUCUUUGGGGAGAUUGUGCGUGGCAUUAAGUUGUCGUGCAUGGGAUUCUCAUCAUUUACUGUGAAAAAAUUAGAGUGUUUAAAGCGGGCCUUUGCCUUGAAUACAUUAGCAUGGAAUAAUAAGAUAGGACCGUUGUCUAUUUUGUUGGUUUACAGAUGUCGGUAAUGAUUAAUAGGGAUAGUUGGGGGUAUUCGUAUUCAGUUGUCAGAGGUGAAAUUCUUGGAUUUUCGGAAGACGCACGACUGCGAAAGCAUUUACCAAGGAUGUUUUCAUUAA
rnacentral:rRNA from 1 species